UGGAUCCAGACUUGAUUAUGGCUCAGGAUGAACGCUAGCUACAGGCUUAACACAUGCAAGUCGAGGGGAAACGACAUCGAAAGCUUGCUUUUGAUGGGCGUCGACCGGCACACGGGUGAGUAACGCGUAUCCAACCUGCCCACCACUUGGGGAUAACCUUGCGAAAGUAAGACUAAUACCCAAUGAUAUCUCUAGAAGACAUCUGAAGGAGAUUAAAGAUUUAUCGGUGAUGGAUGGGGAUGCGUCUGAUUAGCUUGUUGGCGGGGUAACGGCCCACCAAGGCUACGAUCAGUAGGGGUUCUGAGAGGAAGGUCCCCCACAUUGGAACUGAGACACGGUCCAAACUCCUACGGGAGGCAGCAGUGAGGAAUAUUGGCCAAUGGGCGAGAGCCUGAACCAGCCAAGUAGCGUGCAGGAUGACGGCCCUAUGGGUUGUAAACUGCUUUUAUAAGGGAAUAAAGUGGGAGUCGUGACUCUUUUUGCAUGUACCUUAUGAAUAAGGACCGGCUAAUUCCGUGCCAGCAGCCGCGGUAAUACGGAAGGUCCGGGCGUUAUCCGGAUUUAUUGGGUUUAAAGGGAGCGUAGGCCGGAGAUUAAGCGUGUUGUGAAAUGUAGAUGCUCAACAUCUGCACUGCAGCGCGAACUGGUUCCCUUGAGUACGCACAAAGUGGGUGGAAUUCGUGGUGUAGCGGUGAAAUGCUUAGAUAUCACGAAGAACUCCGAUUGCGAAGGCAGCUCACUGGAGCGCAACUGACGCUGAAGCUCGAAAGUGCGGGUAUCGAACAGGAUUAGAUACCCUGGUAGUCCGCACGGUAAACGAUGGAUGCCCGCUGUUGGUCUGAAUAGGUCAGCGGCCAAGCGAAAGCAUUAAGCAUCCCACCUGGGGAGUACGCCGGCAACGGUGCAACUCAAAUGAAUUGACGGA
rnacentral:rRNA from 2 species